UCCCGCAACGAGCGCAACCCUUAUCCUUUGUUGCCAGCGAUUAGGUCGGGAACUCAAAGGAGACUGCCAGUGAUAAACUGGAGGAAGGUGGGGAUGACGUCAAGUCAUCAUGGCCCUUACGACCAGGGCUACACACGUGCUACAAUGGCGCAUACAAAGAGAAGCGACCUCGCGAGAGCAAGCGGACCUCAUAAAGUGCGUCGUAGUCCGGAUUGGAGUCUGCAACUCGACUCCAUGAAGUCGGAAUCGCUAGUAAUCGUGGAUCAGAAUGCCACGGUGAAUACGUUCCCGGGCCUUGUACACACCGCCCGUCACACCAUGGGAGUGGGUUGCAAAAGAAGUAGGUAGCUUAACCUUCGGGAGGGCGCUUACCACUUUGUGAUUCAUGACUGGGGUGAAGUCGUAACAAGGUAACCGUAGGGGAACCUGCGGUUGGAUCACCUCCUUACCUUAAAG
rnacentral:rRNA from 1 species